rnacentral:rRNA from 1 species
ACUCAAAUGAAUUGACGGGGGCCCGCACAAGCGGUGGAGCAUGUGGUUUAAUUCGACGCAACGCGCAGAACCUUACCAGCCCUUGACAUGCCCCUUUCGGGCCGCGGAGACGCGGUCCCUCGGUUCGGCCGGGGGGGACACAGGUGCUGCAUGGCUGUCGUCAGCUCGUGUCGUGAGAUGUUGGGUUAAGUCCCGCAACGAGCGCAACCCUCACCUUCAGUUGCCAUCGGGUCAUGCCGGGCACUCUGGAGGAACUGCCGGUGACAAGCCGGAGGAAGGCGGGGAUGACGUCAAGUCCUCAUGGCCCUUAUGGGCUGGGCUACACACGUGCUACAAUGGCGGUGACAGAGGGAAGCAAGGCGGCGACGCCGAGCCGAUCCCUAAAAGCCGUCUCAGUUCGGAUUGCACUCUGCAACUCGAGUGCAUGAAGCUGGAAUCGCUAGUAAUCGCGGAUCAGCACGCCGCGGUGAAUACGUUCCCGGGCCUUGUACACACCGCCCGU